rnacentral:rRNA from 1 species
GACGAACGCUGGCGGCGUGCUUAACACAUGCAAGUCGAACGGGAAGGCCCUGCUUUUGUGGGGUGCUCGGGUGGCGAACGGGUGAGUAACACGUGAGUAACCUGCCCUUGACUUUGGGAUAACUUCAGGAAACUGGGGCUAAUACCGGAUAGGAGCUCCUGCUGCAUGGUGGGGGUUGGAAAGUUUCGGCGGUUGGGGAUGGACUCGCGGCUUAUCAGCUUGUUGGUGGGGUAGUGGCUUACCAAGGCUUUGACGGGUAGCCGGCCUGAGAGGGUGACCGGCCACAUUGGGACUGAGAUACGGCCCAGACUCCUACGGGAGGCAGCAGUGGGGAAUAUUGCACAAUGGGCGGAAGCCUGAUGCAGCAACGCCGCGUGCGGGAUGACGGCCUUCGGGUUGUAAACCGCUUUCGCCUGUGACGAAGCGUGAGUGACGGUAAUGGGUAAAGAAGCACCGGCUAACUACGUG